AUGCAGUCGACGGCAGCACGGACUUCGGUCUGGUGGCGAGUGGCGAACAGGUGAGUAAUGUAUCGGAACGUACCUUUCAGUGGGGGAUAACGUAGCGAAAGUUACGCUAAUACCGCAUAUUCUGUGAGCAGGAAAGCAGGGGAUCGCAAGACCUUGCGCUGAUUGAGCGGCCGAUAUCAGAUUAGCUAGUUGGUGGGGUAAAGGCCUACCAAGGCUACGAUCUGUAGCGGGUCUGAGAGGAUGAUCCGCCACACUGGAACUGAGACACGGUCCAGACUCCUACGGGAGGCAGCAGUGGGGAAUUUUGGACAAUGGGGGCAACCCUGAUCCAGCCAUGCCGCGUGAGUGAAGAAGGCCUUCGGGUUGUAAAGCUCUUUCGGCCGGGAAGAAAUCGCAUAGGCUAAUACCCUGUGUGGAUGACGGUACCGGAAUAAGAAGCACCGGCUAACUACGUGCCAGCAGCCGCGGUAAUACGUAGGGUGCGAGCGUUAAUCGGAAUUUACUGGGCGUAAAAGCGUGGCGCAGGCGGUUUAGUAAGACAGGCGUGAAAUUCCCCGGGCUCAACCUGGGAAACUGCGCUUGUGACUGCUAAGCUAGAGUACGGCAGAGGGGGGUGGAAUUCCACGUGUAGCAGU
rnacentral:rRNA from 1 species